GGCCGAGGAGGAGAACGGAGCCCGGAGAGGCUAUGGCAAGGAGGAUGGAGGCUAUGGCUCUCGUCGUGGCUAUGCCAGGAAGGAGGAUGGAGCCUAUGGGCCCUAUGGGCGCAGUCACCCCAAGGAGGAAGAUGGAGAGUACGGCCCUCGCCGCGGCUACGCCGAGGAGGAUGGAGGGUACGGCCCGUGGCACGGCUACAGCGGGGAAGAGGAGGGAGCCUAUGGCCCCCGGCACAACUACUCCGAGGAGGAGGAGGAAGGCUACAUGCAGAGCCCAGCCUACCCAGCAGGGUAUGGCUUCGAGGAUGCCGUGCCGACCCCCUACUCUGACUACCCUGGCUAUGAGACAGAGGAGGAGUACGACUCCUACGGGGGAUUUUGGGAGGACGGUGAGCAGCCAGGGCACCCCUACGGCUACUCAGAGCUCGAGGAUGAGGGAGUGUAUGGUGGUGGGUCUCCCCUCAGCCUCUAUGACCCAUACAGCAGCGACCCGGAGUACGGUGAGGAGGCAGAGGGGCCCUUCGGCUACAGGAGGGACCCCUACGAGGAUUUUGGGGAGUCUUUUGCCAGGGGGUACCCUGGGGGCGACUACCCCGAGCAUCGCAUCCAGUACAGCGAGGGCGGCUGGGCGCCGCAUGCCCAAUCCUCCUGCAACCCCUACGCCCUGGGCCUGGAGGAGAUCGCUGAGGGCGAGGAGCCCGAGGAGUGGGAAGAAGAGGAGGAAGAAGAGAAGGAGUAUCCCUUUUCCAUCCUGAGCACCUCCUCGCUCCGGGGCAUGCGGGAGACGCUCUCCUCCAAGCUCUCCCUCAACAGGAAAUUCAGGCUCUUCCCCCGACCCCAGGUCAAGCUUUUCGGCAGGGACCGCCUGGACGUUCCCCUCCCGCCGUCCCCGCACCUGCCCGCUGCCCGAGACGAGGACGACUACGACGAGUACGAGCCGCCGCCGCCUCCGGCAGCCCCCGGCCCCGCGGCAUCCCCGACACGCCGGCUUUCGGCGGCGCGGGUGUGCGGGAGCCCUCUGGGCCAG
rnacentral:lncRNA from 1 species